rnacentral:rRNA from 1 species
CCCUUAGAUGUUCUGGGCCGCACGCGUGCUACACUGAGUGGAUCAGCGGGUCAGGUUGCGCGAAAGUGUUUCCUAAUCUUGAAAUCCGCUCGUGAUGGGGAUUGACGGUUGCAAUUUUCCGUCAUGAACGAGGAAUACCUUGUAAGCGCGGGUCAUCAUCCCGCGCUGAAUACGUCCCUGCCCUUUGCACACACCGCCCGUCGCUCCUACCGAUUGAGUGGUCCGGUGAGGCUUUGGGAUCUGAGCGGAAAGAGCGUUUCGCUGUUUCUGCUCGGAAAACUCAGUCGAACCUUAUCAUUUAGAGGAAGGAGAAGUCGUAACA